rnacentral:rRNA from 1 species
GAUGAACGCUGGCGGCGUGCCUAACACAUGCAAGUCGAGCGAACAGACGAGGAGUUCGCCUCUCUGAAGUUAGCGGCGGACGGGUGAGUAACACGUGGAUAACCUACCUAUAAGACUGGGAUCACUACGGGAAACCGGAGAUAACACCGGAUAAUAUAUUGAACGGCAUGGUUCAUUAGAGAAAGAGGGUUUUGCUGUCACUAAUUGAUGGUUCCGAGCUGCAUUAGCUAGUUGGUAAGGUAACGGCUUACCAAGGCAACGAUGCGUAGCCGACCUGAGAGGGUGAUCGGCCACACUGGAACUGAGACACGGUCCAGACUCCUACGGGAGGCAGCAGUAGGGAAUCUUGCGCAAUGGGCGAAAGCCUGACGGAGCAACGCCGCGUGAGUGAUGAAGGUCUUCGGAUCGUAAAACUCUGUUAUUAGGGAAGAGCAAAUGUGUAAGUAACUAUGCACGUCUUGACGGUACCUAAUCAGAAAGCCACGGCUAACUACGUG